AUUGAACGCUGGCGGCAUGCCUUACACAUGCAAGUCGAACGGUAACAGGUCUUCGGAUGCUGACGAGUGGCGAACGGGUGAGUAAUACAUCGGAACGUGCCCGAGAGUGGGGGAUAACGAGGCGAAAGCUUUGCUAAUACCGCAUACGAUCUCAGGAUGAAAGCAGGGGACCGCAAGGCCUUGCGCUCAGGUGGCGGCGGAUGGGAGAUGAGGUAGAUGGUGGGAUAAAAGCUGACCAAGCCGACGCUCUGUAGCUGGUCUGAGAGGACGACCAGCCACACUGGGACUGAGACACGGCCCAGACUCCUACGGGAGGCAGCAGUGGGGAAUUUUGGACAAUGGGCGAAAGCCUGAUCCAGCAAUGCCGCGUGCAGGAUGAAGGCCUUCGGGUUGUAAACUGCUUUUGUACGGAACGAAAAAGCUUCUCCUAAUACGAGAGGCCCAUGACGGUACCGUAAGAAUAAGCACCGGCUAACUACGUGCCAGCAGCCGCCGCGGUAC
rnacentral:rRNA from 1 species